GCUCAGUAACACGUGGAUAACCUACCCUUAGGACCGGGAUAACCUUGGGAAACUGAGGACAAUACUGGAUAGGCAAUUUUCCCUGUAAUGGUUUUUUGUUUAAAUGUUUUUUCGCCUAAGGAUGGGUCUGCGGCCGAUUAGGUAGUUGGUUAGGUAAUGGCUUACCAAGCCGUUGAUCGGUACGGGUUGUGAGAGCAAGAGCCCGGAGAUGGAACCUGAGACAAGGUUCCAGGCCCUACGGGGUGCAGCAGGCGCGAAACCUCCGCAAUGUGAGAAAUCGCGACGGGGGGAUCCCAAGUGCCAUUCUUAACGGGAUGGCUUUUCAUUAGUGUAAAAAGCUUUUGGAAUAAGAGCUGGGCAAGACCGGUGCCAGCCGCCGCGGUAACACCGGCAGCUCUAGUGGUAGCAAUUUUUAUUGGGCCUAAAGCGUCCGUAGCCGGUUUAAUAAGUCUCUGGUGAAAUCCUGUAGCUUAACUGUGGGAAUUGCUGGAGAUACUAUUAGACUUGAGACCGGGAGAGGUUAGAGGUACUCCCAGGGUAGAGGUGAAAUUCUGUAAUCCUGGGAGGACCGCCUGUUGCGAAGGCGUCUAACUGGAACGGUUCUGACGGUGAGGGACGAAAGUUAGGGGCGCGAACCGGAUUAGAUACCCGGGUAGUCCUAACUGUAAACGAUGCGGACUUGGUGUUGGGGUGGCUUUGAGCUGCUCCAGUGCCGAAGGGAAGCUGUUAAGUCCGCCGCCUGGGAAGUACGGUCGCAAGACUGAAACUUAAAGGAAUUGGCGGGGGGAGCAC
rnacentral:rRNA from 1 species